UACGUAGGGUGCAAGCGUUACUCGGAAUCACUGGGCGUAAAGCGCACGUAGGCGGACUCGUAGGUCAGUUGUGAAAUACCUGGGCUCAACCCAGGAACUGCAGCUGAAACCGCUUGUCUUGAAUACCUGAGAGGGUGGGGGAAUACCUGGUGGAGAAGUGAAAUUCGUAGAGAUCAGGUGGAACACCGGAGGCGAAGGCGCCUGCCUGGCAGUGUAUUGACGCUGAGGUGCGAAAGUGCGGGGAGCAAACAGG
rnacentral:rRNA from 1 species